rnacentral:lncRNA from 13 species
AUGUCCCAGAGGAAGCAGGUGCCGCGCGGUCAGAUGACGUGGAGAUCUGCGCCAGGGACGAAGGAGAAGAUGGAGCCGGGAAGACACCAGGAAGGAGGUGGCUACUAUUAUUAUUGCCGUUUAACAGGUAAGGCAAUUGAAGCACAGGGAUCUGAAGAAACCAGACCAACUUACUCAGCAAAUAAGGAACCAAGUGGAAUUCAAACUUACGCAGUCCAACUUCAGCUCCUCUUCCUGGCUGCUGUCAAGACUGCUUCUCAAAAAUAUAUGCAAAUGCCACUGUAUCAAAACCCAUGCUCAAUGCUUGUUUUCUUUAUCCUUUCACUCCAGAAUGCUUAUGCCUACUGCCAUAAUUAGUCCUGGAAGCUUUGAGAACGAAUAGAUUAUUGUGGUCUCCACUGUUCUACAGGCACUUCAAGUCUGACCCAUUGAUGAUAUUUCCAUCUGCCCCAGUGUAGAGUCAGGCAAGAAAGAAAUUUCAUUAAGUAAUCCCUAUUAAACUUAAUUUAAUUCCAGUUUAAACUGUUAAAUGAGAGCACAUUCAGGAAAAUUUACAUGUUGAGAUAGCAAAGGGAACCAGGCACAGUGGCUCAAGCCUGUAAUCCCAGCACUUUCAGAGGCUGAAGCAGGCAGAUCACUUGUAGUCAGGAGUUCGAGACCAGCCUGGCCAACAUGGUGAAAUCCUGUCUCUCCUAAAAAUAUAAAACUUAGCUGGGCAUGGUGGUGCAGGCGUGUAAUCUCAGCUACUUGUGAGCCUGAGGCAGGAAAAUUCGUUGAACCUGGGAGGCAGAGGCUGCAGUGAGCCGAGAUCUCGUCACUGCACUCCAGCCUGGAUGACAGAGUGAAAUUCUAAAAAAAAAAUGCAUAGGGAUAGGGAAAUAAUAGGCCCAGUGGAAACAAUCCCAAAUACAGUUUCAAUAGUCUCUGCUAAAGAAACACAUCUGAAUUCUUGGGGAGAAAAAGAGGAGCUUCUAAAACUCUUGGAAGCCAAAGUGUUUUAAGCAAUCAUCCAGUCUACUCACGGAGAGCCAUGAAGUAGCCGGGUAAUGUGGGGACUGCGCCCAUGAACUGGUCACUAGCCACUCCAGCCAUUAUGUAGUUACCUUUGAGAAUGAAGCAACACUCUGGUCCAUACAGGUACAAAGAAGUAAAAAACAGGUGCAAAAUACAUAUUAUUUCCAAUGGUAGAUUAUCCCCCUCUGUGACACAAACAUCACAGGUUACAAGUAAUAUCAAACACUUCUUGCUGUAAAAGCUCAUCAGUUUCAAAGCCAGCAGUCCUCUAUAUGCAGAUCAGAAACCUGAGAAUUUAUGUAAUGGGUCAGAAUUCCAGCACUUUUCACACUGUUUGAGGUAG